AGAGUUUGAUCCUGGCUCGGGACGAACGCUGGCGGCACGCUUAACACAUGCAAGUCGAACGAGAGAAGAGGAGCUUGCUUUUCUGAUCUAGUGGCGGACGGGUGAGUAACACGUGAGCAAUCUGCCUUUCAGAGGGGGAUACCGAUUGGAAACGAUCGUUAAUACCGCAUAACAUAAUUGAACCGCAUGAUUUGAUUAUCAAAGAUUUAUCGCUGAAAGAUGAGCUCGCGUCUGAUUAGCUAGUUGGUAAGGUAACGGCUUACCAAGGCGACGAUCAGUAGCCGGACUGAGAGGUUGAUCGGCCACAUUGGGACUGAGACACGGCCCAGACUCCUACGGGAGGCAGCAGUGGGGAAUAUUGCACAAUGGAGGAAACUCUGAUGCAGCGAUGCCGCGUGAGGGAAGAAGGUUUUAGGAUUGUAAACCUCUGUCUUCAGGGACGAAAAAAGACGGUACCUGAGGAGGAAGCUCCGGCUAACUACGUGCCAGCAGCCGCGGUAAUACGUAGGGAGCGAGCGUUGUCCGGAAUUACUGGGUGUAAAGGGAGCGUAGGCGGGAUCGCAAGUCAGAUGUGAAAACUAUGGGCUUAACCCAUAAACUGCAUUUGAAACUGUGGUUCUUGAGUGAAGUAGAGGUAAGCGGAAUUCCUAGUGUAGCGGUGAAAUGCGUAGAUAUUAGGAGGAACAUCAGUGGCGAAGGCGGCUUACUGGGCUUUAACUGACGCUGAGGCUCGAAAGCGUGGGGAGCAAACAGGAUUAGAUACCCUGGUAGUCCACGCCGUAAACGAUGAUUACUAGGUGUGGGGGGACUGACCCCUUCCGUGCCGCAGCAAACGCAAUAAGUAAUCCACCUGGGGAGUACGACCGCAAGGUUGAAACUCAAAGAAAUUGACGGGGGCCCGCACAAGCAGUGGAGUAUGUGGAUUAAUUCGAAGCAACGCGAAGAACCUUACCAGGUCUUGACAUCGUAUGCAUAGCUCAGAGAUGAGUGAAAUCUCUUCGGAGACAUAUAGACAGGUGGUGCAUGGUUGUCGUCAGCUCGUGUCGUGAGAUGUUGGGUUAAGUCCCGCAACGAGCGCAACCCUUACUGUUAGUUGCUACGCAAGAGCACUCUAGCAGGACUGCCGUUGACAAAACGGAGGAAGGUGGGGAUGACGUCAAAUCAUCAUGCCCCUUAUGACCUGGGCCUCACACGUACUACAAUGGCUGUCAACAGAGGGAAGCAAAGCCGCGAGGUGGAGCGAACCCCUAAAAGCAGUCUUAGUUCGGAUUGUAGGCUGCAACCCGCCUACAUGAAGUCGGAAUUGCUAGUAAUCGCAGAUCAGCAUGCUGCGGUGAAUACGUUCCCGGGCCUUGUACACACCGCCCGUCACGCCAUGGGAGUCGGUAACACCCGAAGCCUGUAGUCUAACCGCAAGGAGGACGCAGUCGAAGGUGGGAUUGAUGACUGGGGUGAAGUCGGAACAAGGUAGCCGUAUCGGAAGGUGCGGCUG
rnacentral:rRNA from 1 species